UUUCAACAGCAUGCACCUAAAGCCCAGAGCUCAGCUCCUAGGCUGGAUGUUAAAUUUGAAACAGGAGUCACUGAAGGACACCUGGAGUCAUCCAUAUCAAAUGAAAACCAAAGAUGUGCCUGAAUUCCCACUGCUCUCUGCAGUUCAGGCAUUUGAACUGCAAGGAUUCAGCAUGGGAGAUGGAUCCCAGAGACUACAGCCAAAGAGAAUCACAGUGGUGAUGGGUCAAUGGUUGGACCAGAUGAUCUUAGUGGUCCAACCUUAAUGAUUCUGUGAUUCAGGAGUGUGCACUGAGCCCUGAUCUCAUGGGCUGGAAUGGAACAUAGGGAAGACCUACAUUCAUGGAGCAAGGAAGUGCAUGGGAACAUGAUUCUUAACAGAAUGGAUUGCAUUAUACUGUGAAGGCCAUGUCUACAUAUGAGCUACUCUCAACCUCUUUUCUGUGAUUACUGGAAACCUUAUCACUGCAACAGAAACUGAUGUAGAUGGAAAGGUGGAAAAAGAAGAACAGAAACGAUGUUGAAGACCUUAACAACACUCAGCUGACUGGUCUGAAUAUUCUGAAUCUCAUGUUACUACAUGCUAACCAACUCAACAUUAAAUGCAUUUGUCUUCUGCCUGAGAUCCUUUUCUGUAGUUCUAAGCAUCCAGUCAGAAAGAAUAUGGAAUGCUGAACAUUAACAUUCAAUAAGUGCAGUUCCCUGAAGGAUGGUGACAUAAAACAAAUUGGGCUACUUAGAAACUGCACUCCCUGUGGAUCACACAGUAGCAGAGAAUGACUAAGCAUUACAGCUUCCUGGAACACAACUGGAGAUGCAGUUGCCAUUGCAAAUGGAAGAGGAACAUUGUGUUGGUAACAUCUGCUUACCUGUUCUGGAAAUUGUUCAAGAUGGGUGAAUGCCUACAUUAUGAGAUACUGGGGGAUACUAAAAUAUUAGAAAAGCUUUAGAUAUGAUCUUGGGAAAUACUUUGAUAGAAGUCUAUGGGGUAAAAUCUGAGUGAAUCCAUUUUUAAACUACAGCUAAUAAAAAUGAAGAAAACAGAAAAACCUGUACCUAGGUAAUAGAUUGAGUCAAGAAAUGGGAGUCAGUGAAGUCACCUGACCCACUAAUCAAGUCAGCAUUUUCAUAGAAAAAUUGAUAGUAUAAUGAUUGGAGAAAAUCUAUUAUCAUGACAAUAAGCUAAUCUAUCAAAAUCCAGA